rnacentral:rRNA from 1 species
UACGUAGGGUGCAAGCGUUAAUCGGAAUUACUGGGCGUAAAGCGUGCGCAGGCGGUGAUGUAAGACAGGCGUGAAAUCCCCGAGCUCAACUUGGGAAUGGCGCUUGUGACUGCAAGGCUAGAGUAUGUCAGAGGGGGGUAGAAUUCCACGUGUAGCAGUGAAAUGCGUAGAGAUGUGGAGGAAUACCGAUGGCGAAGGCAGCCCCCUGGGACGUCACUGACGCUCAUGCACGAAAGCGUGGGGAGCAAACAGG